AGUGAACGCUGGCGGUAGGCCUAACACAUGCAAGUUGAACGGCAGCACAGUAAGAGCUUGCUCUUACGGGUGGCGAGUGGCGGACGGGUGAGGAAUACAUCGGAAUCUACUUUUUCGUGGGGGAUAACGUAGGGAAACUUACGCUAAUACCGCAUACGACCUACGGGUGAAAGCAGGGGAUCUUCGGACCUUGCGCGAUUGAAUGAGCCGAUGUCGGAUUAGCUAGUUGGCGGGGUAAAGGCCCACCAAGGCGACGAUCCGUAGCUGGUCUGAGAGGAUGAUCAGCCACACUGGAACUGAGACACGGUCCAGACUCCUACGGGAGACAGCAGUGGGGAAUAUUGGACAAUGGGCGCAAGCCUGAUCCAGCCAUACCGCGUGGGUGAAGAAGGCCUUCGGGUUGUAAAGCCCUUUUGUUGGGAAAGAAAAGCAGCAGGUUAAUACCCCGCUGUUCUGACGGUACCCAAAGAAUAAGCACCGGCUAACUUCGUG
rnacentral:rRNA from 1 species